rnacentral:rRNA from 1 species
UACGGGGGGGCAAGCGUUGUUCGGAAUUACUGGGCGUAAAGGGCUCGUAGGCGGCCAACUAAGUCAGACGUGAAAUCCCUCGGCUUAACCGGGGAACUGCGUCUGAUACUGGAUGGCUUGAGUUCGGGAGAGGGAUGUGGAAUUCCAGGUGUAGCGGUGAAAUGCGUAGAUAUCUGGAGGAACACCGGUGGCGAAGGCGGCAUCCUGGACCGACACUGACGCUGAUGAGCGAAAGCCAGGGGAGCAAAGC